rnacentral:lncRNA from 1 species
UUCUUCAGUCCAGUCUCCAUUAAUCUAAACAGUGUACAAUUUGGAACAUAACAUUUUAAGAACUGAGAAAUGAACGUUCCAACAAAUUACACAGCUCCUUCGGGGUUAAAAUUUAAAAGAAAAUGGGUAAAGGUAUAUAUAUACACAUAUAAUUUAUUAUAAUAUGUGUGUAUAUACAUAUAUAUAGGACUGCAUUUUUAACAAAACAAUACAAGCUACCAUGACAAAGACAAACAAAAACCUGUUGUAUUU